rnacentral:lncRNA from 1 species
UGUGAAGUGAUUAUAUCUAAUUAAGUAUAUUACUACAGGUUUUAGAAGAGCAAUAGUUAGAAAAAGGUAAUUUAGAUGUCUAUUCUUAAUCCUAAACUCAAGCCAUUGAUAUUAAAAUUAGAUUGUUGCAUUAAUUAAAUAGUCUAUUAGGCCGGAUUCUAACGCACAUGCAUUCGAAAUACACUACCUAAUAAUCAAGCUAAAACAAACCAAAUAUUAUUGACUACAGCACCCCCCCCUUUGACCAAGAGCAGAUUUAAAGUUCAUUCGAAAGUUCACAAAUUAAAUCAUUACCAAAACUGUCCAGUUAUACAUCCCGCAGGCAUUUACAUGAUAUUAGUGAGUGAGAUAUCCUAAUAUACAAAUCAGUAGAAAAGCUAAAUCAAACUUAAAGCUUCAAAUCUUCAUGUAUAUUCAUGCUUCAUUUUUUCAGCUUACAAAUAAUCAGGGUUGCAGCUGUGUACCUGGAAAUGGCAAUACAAUGAGAAGAGAAGGAGGUCAGCAACAGGUAAAAAUUCCAGCAAUUAACAACAACUCAACAGCAGUAAUUCAACCCAAGUUCGAAGCGCAGAAAAUUUUGAAAACCAAACAAGAGUCGAUAGAACAACCUCAAACAAUGCCAAAACCCAAGAAUGAAUCAGGGACUGAAGUAUAAGCAGUUAGCUGAUCUAUCCACUAACUCGAACCAACAGACUCGAAGCAAAUAGAUUAAGGGACUGAAUUCUAGUUCAAAACUGAAAAAGAUAAUGAGAAGGAUCAAUGAAAUAGUAUUCUCUUUUCUCGAUGUUUUCACACCCCCUCAAAAUUGUAUAAGAACUCUCUCCAAAACCGAAUGCCUUUAAAAAUCUAUAUCUCUCUAAAAAAAACUGAUUUUUUAAGCCUUCAAAACUCUCAAACUCUUUAAAACUGAAAUCCUUAAGCUCUAGGAAACUCCCUCAAUUUGGACUCUUUCUAUGUGUUUUUGACUCUAAACUCUUACUCCUCGUCUAAAAAUCUCUCCCAAAAAAAUGUGUUCCUCUCAAUAUCUAUCUAGACCCCUCUUUAUACCCAACCCUGACCUUGCCAGCUCUCAAGGGCACUUAGGCAGAAAUUUUUAAGAUAAUUCUGCCCAUGAUCUCUUUUCAAUUCCACUAGAAUAUGUUUUGUUCCCCACUAAACUUCUUUUUAUUUAUUAAUCCCACGCGGGUAUGGGCAGCCUAUUUUUUCUAUUCAAAUCCCUUAAACCUUGUGAAAUGAUGCCUAUGAUCCCUUACACAGCCAUCAACCUCCCCCCCACUACUAUUUUAUACUAUUUCAAUAGUUUAAUGGUACUUUAGCACCCUACUAUUAGAAUAUUCAACUAAGCCAUUUGCUACACUGAUUCAAUUAUCUAAAUGAGCUGAAUUUAAACUCUAAACACCUCAGCUAUAACCAAUCCACAACCAAAUUCAAACAAUGAUUCAAUUAGAAUUGAAACAGUAUAAAUCAAAUUAUUAUCAGGUUAUUCUAACAUUCAAGCAUGUAAAACUAAUCGACGACACUUAUCCAAUCGACUACACGAAUUACAACAAAUACAAUCAAUAGCAAAUCAGAAUCGAACAGGCACACAGGUGAUUCGAGUCGUAUUGAUAGAAACAGGGAACUUAUAGACUAACAAAUUACAUGGCUAAAUACAUAUAUCCGACCAUGCACAGAAGCAGACUCGACCAAAUAAAAGGUCUGAUUGGGGAAGAAGAAGGAGCAAUGAACAAAACUGGAUUAUAACUAACUAAACACAAUUAACCGUAGCAAAAAUAGAACAAGAAAGGAAAAAAAGGUACCUUAACAAAACAGAAACCAGACGAACCCAGGUCGAACCCUUGACUUGAACUUUUUGAGGUCGAACGGACCUUAAUCGAGUGUUCAACUGAGAACACUUUGACUAAGGUCCACUGGACACCCAAAUUCCUUUUCUUCGGACAAACUCCAGCCUUUGGUUUUCUAGGGUUCUUGGGGUUUGAUUUGGGGUUCGAACGGUCUUAGCCUGAUUCGAACCAAACCAAAGGUGGUUUGGUAACGAGGGAGGUCUGGGGGCGUCAUGGUGUGAGUUUGGGGCUGGUUGGGGUAGUUUCAAGUUUUACUUGAAUCUUCGAUUGAAGAUUCGAGAAGCUACAGGCUGAUUCGAGCAAAACGGAUAAGGGAUUCAUGGAGAGGGUGGUUAGGUGCUCUAGGGGUGUUAGUUUCAUGGUCAUCGGCGUUGUUGCCGCCGGGUUUACGGCGGAGGGAUUUGGUGGCGGCUAGGGUUUCGAAGGUCGUCUCUGAGGGGUCUGAGAGAGACGAUGGGGCGAGGGGGGUUUGGUUUGGGGGCGUGGGGUAAGGAAUUAGGGUUAUAUACGGGAGGGGGCGUUUGAUCUUGGUCGUUGGAUCAAUCACGAUCAACGGCUUGGAUCAUUUUACUAAUAGGAAACGACAUCGUUUGGCCAUGCUACAAGACUGGGUCGACCCGGGUGAAAUGGACCGGGUUAUGGGGGAAGCCUGGGACUGUUAGAUCAAAACAAAUCAAUGGCUUGAAUUUAUUGGCCAAAUACGACGUCAUUUGGAUAUAUCUGGAGACGGACUGGACCGUUUGAUCGUAUGAGAUUGACGGUCCAGAUUCACAAUGCCCAAAUGAUGUCGUUCUAGACUAGUCGCAGGUGGACUGGAUUUGGGGCGGGUAUUGGGCUGACUUGGGGGUGACAUUGGGCCUGAUUUUGGGUUGUUUUGGACGGCCCAGUUCCGAUUUCCACUUGUUUUUGUUUUGUUUUCUUUUAAUUUCUAAUUAGCAAAAAAAAUCUAUAAUAAAUUGUAAAACCAAAAUUAACCUACAAAAAUAUUAAUUAACAUUUAACUGCAAUUAACACACAAAAUUUAACACCAAAAAUCACACAAUUGUACACUAAUCGGCAAAAUAGAACAAAUACAUAUUUUUGUGAUUUCCUUUCUUCUAAAACCAAACUAUGGUUUAAUUAAUUCCAAAAUGCACAAUUAAAUCCUAGAUGUGCAUGCAACAUGUAUUUUUGUAUUUUUUAAUUAAUUAAAUAAAAUAAACACUCACAGACAAAAUAAUUACGAAAAUGUCACGCGAAAUUCUUAAACUUGUACCCAAAUGACAUUUGUUUUAUUUUUCGAUUUCUUUUGGAGUAGUUUUCAUGAAGAAAAAAUCACGUGCUCACACCUGUCCCCAUUUACCUUACGCAAUCGCGAGAGUGACUACGCGAUCGCGAAGAGCAACAGGCCUGAGCACUUGUUGCAGAUUUUCUGCAAUUUUUCCUAAGUUCAAACUUCCCAAAACACACUCGAGCCCUCGGGUCUCCUAACUAAACACACGUACUAACUCAACAACAUCAUACGAACUUAUCCGUGUGAUCAAAUUGCCAAAAUAACCUCAAUAACAAUGAAUCAAACCUCAAAAUCAAGAACUUUUUCUCAAAUUUCAUCAAGUAUCAAAUUUAACAAUUUAGGUUCGAAUCACGUCAAACGACGUUCGUUUUCAACCAAACUUUACAGAAAUGACUUAAACCAUAUAUAAGACCUGUACCAGGCGCCGGAACCAAAAUACAAGCCCGAUACCAUCGCUUUCUAAUCAGAUUUCAUUUCAAAUUUCCUUAAAAAUUUCAGAAAUUUCCUUUAAAAAUUCAUUUCUCGGGCUCGGGACCUUGGAAUUCGAUUCCGGGCAUACGUCCAAGUCCCAUAUUUUCCUACGGACCCUCCGGGACCGUCAACUCACGGGUCCAGUUCUGUUUACCCAAAAUAUUGACCGAAGUCAAAUUUAUUCAUUUUAUAGUAAAAACUUAUUAUUUUUUACAAAAUGUCAUAUAUAAGCUUUUCGGCUACACGCCCGAACUGCGCACGCAAAUCGAGGUGACUCUAAAUGAUAUUUUCAAGGCCUCAAAGACACAAAAUUCAAUUAAAAGCAAAUGAUGACCUUUUGGGUCAUCACACCUUAGGUUUGUUAAGUCUUUGUUAUUUGUUCUUCAUUGUAACUCCUAUCUUGCUUUAUUAGAAGCUUUGUUUUAGGAAAUUCAAAAGCAUAAACCAUCUGAGUUUGUGUCUUGGCUAGAGUUAGCCGAGUUGUGAAGUCUUUGUAAUAGAGUUAUUACAAAGUAGCUUGUAAUAGAGUUGUUACAAGUUAGAGUGAUCAAAGUAUUUGCAACUAGAGAGUGACAAAGUGGCUUGUGGUGAGAGCAUCACAAGUUUGUUAAAGUCUUUGAAACUAGAAGAGUGACAAAGUGGCUUGUGGUGAGAGUACCACAAGUUAGUUGAGUUGAAUUCUUUGUAAUAGAGUCAUUACAAAGUGGCUUGUAAUAGGUGUUUACAAGUUAGUGAAGUUGAAAUCCUACCAGUGUAGGUCAUGAUUUUUUGUCCUCUUGAGUUAGAAUUUUUCCACGUAAAAAUCAUGUGUCUCAUUUACAUACUGGUUUAGUAGUUAGCACAGUGGGAACUGAUAUAUUACCAGAUCUCUAUACAGUUUGGUUCAUUAGUAUUUUCAGUGGAAACUCAUAGAGGACCAGGUACUCUAUACUGUUUGGUGGACUCAUACAAACUAACAAAAAUAUCGUUGGUAGAGACUUGAUAAAUAAAUCAAUCAUAUUAAUUUGAAUGAAUAUAUUGCACCUUGAAAUCAUCAUUCUUGAGAGAAAUAUAAGGUCUUCAUAAAAUGUUGUGGGGUGGCCUUUUCAAUAUCUCAAUAGAUGUAAAAAUUCCCGCUAUCACAUUAUCAUGCUUAUAGUUAUAGCAAGAUUCAUAUCUGCACAAAUUACACUUAUCAUAUGGCACUUCAGGACCAAGAAUUGUAUAUGCUUCAAGCAAUUUAAAUCCUUCAAGGAUUGUCAUAUAAGUUAAGUCAUAUAAGUCAUAUGAAUGGACUAGAUGCAUAUCAAGUUUUUAUGUCAUGGUAGACAUAUAAGAUAGAUAAAGGUGAUUGCACACACCAUUGACUUUUUACUUUCAAGUGUUUGAACUAUAUGUCCAAAAAUACAUAUCUUUCAUAUGAAACCAAUUCUAUUUGAAUUGCGUCUCUUCCAUGUGGCCAAUAUUUUGUAUCUAUAUUCGACAGACUUGAGGUCCUCAUCUAUACUUAAUGCUAUAAUAGAUGUCGUCGAUGAACAAUUUAUAUCGAUUCCAGCUUUUUUUUUCUAUAAAUACCUGACAUAGAGAUCUCUUCAUUCAUAUUUUCAACUACUUGAAUCUCUCCCGAGUUGUUANNNNNNNNNNNNNNNNNNNNNNNNNNNNNNNNNNNNNNNNNNNNNNNNNNNNNNNNNNNNNNNNNNNNNNNNNNNNNNNNNNNNNNNNNNNGGGUCAGCAAAUGUGUCUGGCAUGCUUUGCAAUAUAUUGCAAAUGAAUUAUCUUUUUAUGAACUUCAAGUUUAUAUUAUCUUAUUCGAGGAUCUAAAUGUAUAAAUAAUAAUUUAUUCCAUGUAAUUUUUUCUCAAUUAUUUAUUAUGUCUCCCCCUCAUGUUAGAAAAACUAACUUGUUUUCCUCAACUUUGAGAACUCAUCUUUGUGCGUUAUGGUAUUAAUCAAAAUAUACCCCGCACAUCAAUAAAAAUAAGAUGAAAUUAUUUGGUUCCUGAUCCUUAACCACUUGUGAGGGGAGAAAAUAAUAUACUUUGGUAUAUAACGUAUAUCAAAUUGAUAUAGAUAACUUUGUUCUCAUAAGCAAUUAUUUAGCUAUUAAGUGGAGGCACUCAAUAAAUCAUUUUGCUAAACCAACUGUGAUGUAAACCAACUUAUUAAGAUGAACUAUCUUGAAUAAAAAAUCUGGAAAUUAUGCUCUAAAUCAAAUUAUUGAGCAAGUUACUUUGCAAACACCAUGUUGCGGGUUAAUAAUAAUCGCACAUGUAACCAUCUCAUAGAUGCAUUUUAUGUGAAAUACAUGGUAGGUGAAUGAGCCCAUAUUCACCUUUGAUAUUUCCAGCAUUCGUGGGAUUGAAUCCCAAUUUUACUUGGUCUAUUAAUUAAUGAGAACAAACAACAUAAGAGAAUUCGUAAGGAACUUUCUAGUUCUUUAAUAUUUACCCAUGUGAAUUCUUUUUUAUUUUUUCGCAUCAUACUUAAAUUAACAUGGCUAAACUAAUUAUGCCAACUGAAUAAAUUAUCAAUAUAGAAUCAUGACGUGUGCAAUUAUGAAUAAACUCCAAGUUUAUUAUGAUAUGGGUUUUUAGAUCAAUAAACUUCUACUUUAUUGUGACAUUCUUUUAUUUGUGCAGUACAAACUGGAAAAUAAAGCUGAUAGCUUUUCACAUAUAUAUUACCCUGCUACAAGUUGUAGUAAUAGAAGAUAUUAAAUCUUUCCUUUAUUUAUAGUCUCAAUAUAACCAAUCACUUUCGCGAAUACUUUAGAAACUAAAUAAGUUUAUUUGAGAAUUUGAGACUUACUACAACAUAAUGCCUUAUUGAUAAUCAAUUAUAUUCCUCCAAAAUAGUAAUAAUUGGCUCUUCGAGAGCUCUCAAUUAAUGUGGUACUACCAUAUAUUCAUCAACUUCCAUAUGGUGAAUAUCUCUUUUAAAAAGAAUGUUAUACCAUUAUGGUAGUGGUCAAAAUUAUAUGCAAGAUCUGUUUCUUGCAUCACUAUUGUUCCUUAAUAAUCACAUUGCCAAAAUAUUUUGGCGUACAAUAAGUACGUGAUCAAUGAUCAUUCAUGCCAUAAGAAUGACAUUAUGUUCUUAUUACCUCUCAAACCUCCUCCUACAGGUGAGUGCGGUAUAUUCACUACCACUAGCACAUUUAUAUCUUCCAAGAAUGAAUUCAUAAAUCACAUGUUGUCACAUUCAAAUCAUGAAUGGACGAUAAUCAUCUAUAUGUGCUUUACAAAAUAACAUGUGAAAUUGAUGACAAACAUUACUCUCACAGAGUGAAAGAUUAUUUUGAGAAUUCUUAUUGUUCUCAUUACCACAAUGAUGACGAUUAUAAUUUCAUCAAUUGCCACGUUCACAUCCAUUGAUACCUUUACGGUAAUAAUUUUGUCUUCUUUCAGACUUAUCACAUACUGCUAUCACAUUCUCUUAAGAGAAUGAGAAUGAAAGCAAAUUCAAUGGGACGAGUUUUCAAUUCUUUGCCCAUAAUCAUACAUGAAUUUGAUCAUGGCAAGACAUAAAAUUUUAUCAUUUUGGGUGGUUAUAAUUUCUUUCAAACUCCAUUAGAGUUACAAUCAAAAUUUAUCUUCUUUGCUUGUAUUUAAAAUCGAAUUAUAGAAUUUCAAGAAUUUAAAAGAGAAAAAUAAAGUAAAAUACUUACCUUAAAUCGAGAAUUUAAUCAUGAAGGAGUUCAAGAAAUUGUAUGAUCUAAUUCUCUCUUUGCACCAUAUUUGGUUAUGGAAGAGCGGAAUCGAAGG